GGAGGGGGGCGCGAGAGCCCGAACUGCCAAGGAGGAGGGCUCGGCUGCUGCUUGCGCGAAUCCGGCCGCCCGGCUCGCCAGCCCCACGGCGUACAGAGAGCCUCAGGGAGCCCGGAGGAGGAGAAGGAGUGGUUUCCUACCGCGGAGCCUCCCCCCGCCCGCCCCCUCCCUCGUCUCCCUUCCUGGAAGUCGCAGAGUUGCUUUGCAUGCCAGCGAGGUGCAGCAGCUGCUCCCACAGCGCGCGAUGCUAGCAGCGAGCCCUGUUGGAUGCCCGACGCUGCGGACCCGCUGCUGAGUCUCCCUGCGCGGCGGUGCAUGGGCGCCCAAAAGCUGCGCGCCCGCUUGGAUCGCCGCCUCCCUUCCUCGUCGCCCUCUCUCUGUAGCGCUCGCCCCGGCUGGGAGCGCGGAGACGCGCCUCGGAUCCUCCUUGCGCCGGAGGCAGCAGCGGCGGGAGGAGAAGAUACGAUUUGUGUUUGACGCAAUUUGCCCAACACUUCCUCGGCACAGCGACCGUUGGCAGCAGGAACAGGUUUUUCUGGAGACAACCUCCAUUCAUGUGAUUAGAAGAUCUUUGCAGCAUGACAGAGGUGAUGAAUACACGCGAGCCUGUUAUGGAGGAAUUUACCUUGAGCCAGCCUGAGGAAGAAGGAGGCACUUCUAGCCAGGCUUUUCCAGAUGCACACGAAAAGUACCCUAAGCUGUCGAAAAGAUUACCAUCCAUUGUGGUAGAGCCAUCUGAGACAGGGGAUGUCGAAAGUGGAGAACUCCGUUGGCCGCCGGAUGACCUGAAGUCUGAUGAGAAAAAGGGUCUUGCUAGUCAGAGGGUCUGUGCUCAACAGCAGCAAAUGGAUCUUGGAAGUGCUCUAGCACACCAAGAAAUGGGUGACAGUACAGAAUCCGCUGGAAUCAGAACUGAAGGCGACGACUAAUGACAGCGGCCAGAAGUUGAAGCUUUGGUGUGAACCUAAUUGGAAAGCUAGCACAUUCCGAAGACCUGUCAAAGCGAUCUAUUUUAAACCUGGGAACGGGUUUCUUGUGAUUAAGUUAGUUACCUGAGGAGGAGUACAUGGGCUUUAGAACUGUUCCUUUCAAUGUGUACCUUUUCAGGCUGGGAUUCUUAUCAUUUACCUUUUCUUUGGAAACAAUGGAGCACCUUAGCGAGUGCCUUCCAGUGACUACUAUGAAAUCCACAAGGGGGAGGGGGGAACACUCAAUUUGUUGCAAUUAGCACUUUGAAGUGAAAUUGCCUUAUUAAGGGAGAGCUGCUGUUGGGUAUUGGCAGCAAGGCAAAGGGUUUGCAUUGUUACAUAACGGGACACCUUAAAUCGAUUAAACCUCUUCUGUUUAGCCAUUUGAAAAACUAGCACUGUGAUAUUAUGGAUAAUAGCUGUAAUAUAAUGUCACCACCUGA